AUGGACUCGGGAAUGUCUGCACAGUGGAAGGCCUCACCUCUGCCGACUGAACCUGUCGAGCUGUUCAUUGGCAUCCUUUCUGCAGCCAACAAUUUCGCCGAGUGGAUGGCCGGCCGCAAGUCAUGGAUGAUUGCUACAAGGAAAUCAUCUAACAGUGUUGGCCGGUUCUUCGUCGCUCUGGUCAACGAGGAGCUGAAGAAGGAGGCAGAGUUCUUUGGUGACAUUGUUCUGGUCCCUUUCAUGGAUAGCUAUGACCUCAUUGUUUUAAAGACUAUUGCCAUUGCUGAGUAUGGGGAAUGGGAAGAAGAAGUAUACCCACCUUACGCAAACGGACCGGGCUAUGUGAUUUCAUCAGACAUCGCUGAGUACAUCGUAUAUGAGUUUGACAACCAGAAACUGAGAAAGUUUGACAAGACUCGCCAGCCGGUGGAGUAUUCCCACGACGUCAAGUUCUUCCAGGCCGGCUGCUUCGACGGCUACUACACCGCGCACUACUAG
rnacentral:rRNA from 1 species